AUACGGAGGAUCCGAGCGUUAUCCGGAUUUAUUGGGUUUAAAGGGAGCGUAGGUGGGAUAUUAAGUCAGAUGUGAAAGUUUGGGGCUCAACCUUAAAAUUGCAGUUGAUACUGGUUUCCUUGAGUACGGUACAGGUGGGCGGAAUUCGUGGUGUAGCGGUGAAAUGCUUAGAUAUCAUGAAGAACUCCGAUCGCGAAGGCAGCUCACCGGGCCGGAACUGACACUGAUGCUCGAAAGUGCGGGUAUCAAACAGGAUUAGAUACCCUGGUAGUCCGCACAGUAAACGAUGAAUACUCGCUGUUUGCGAUAUACAGUAAGUGGCACAGCGAAAGCGUUAAGUAAUCCACCUGGGGAGUACGCCGGCAACGGUGAAACUCAAAUGAAUUGGCGGGG
rnacentral:rRNA from 1 species